rnacentral:rRNA from 1 species
GGACCGACGGGAGCUUGCUCCCUUAGGUCAGCGGCGGACGGGUGAGUAACACGUGGGUAACCUGCCUGUAAGACUGGGAUAACUCCGGGAAACCGGGGCUAAUACCGGAUGCUUGAUUGAACCGCAUGGUUCCAAUCAUAAAAGGUGGCUUUUAGCUACCACUUACAGAUGGACCCGCGGCGCAUUAGCUAGUUGGUGAGGUAACGGCUCACCAAGGCGACGAUGCGUAGCCGACCUGAGAGGGUGAUCGGCCACACUGGGACUGAGACACGGCCCAGACUCCUACGGAAGGCAGCAGUAGGGAAUCUUCCGCAAUGGACGAAAGUCUGACGGAGCAACGCCGCGUGAGUGAUGAAGGUUUUCGGAUCGUAAAACUCUGUUGUUAGGGAAGAACAAGUACCGUUCGAAUAGGGCGGCACCUUGACGGUACCUAACCAGAAAGCCACGGCUAACUACGUGCCAGCAGCCGCGGUAAUACGUAGGUGGCAAGCGUUGUCCGGAAUUAUUGGGCGUAAAGCGCGCGCAGGCGGUUUCUUAAGUCUGAUGUGAAAGCCCCCGGCUCAACCGGGGAGGGUCAUUGGAAACUGGGGAACUUGAGUGCAGAAGAGGAGAGUGGAAUUCCACGUGUAGCGGUGAAAUGCGUAGAGAUGUGGAGGAACACCAGUGGCGAAGGCGACUCUCUGGUCU